AUCAUGCCAAUAUAAAAGUAAAAAAUUCCCAUCCUCAUUUGGUGAUAAGGCAGAAUUUUAGAAGAACAGAAGGUGUUUUUUGUUUUGUAAGUGGUACUAUAUGGAACUCUGCUUCUAUAUGGAACUCUCUUCCUGAGGUUGGUUACAAUGAAUUGAAAGUUCACCAAAAAAAGAAAAAAAAAAGAAAAAAAAAAGGUAUAAAUAGGAGGCCGGUGUUCCCUAAUCUUCCACAAAUGACGUAAACCCCAUUAUUAAAAUGAGUUACUUACAUUGCCAUUGAAUGAAGAUUCUUGUGAUUCCACAAAAUUCCUUCAGAUCUCAACAAUUACAUGAACAUCCUCUUGAGGUUUUAAUUUGUUUUCG
rnacentral:lncRNA from 1 species